AGAAAAAGUCAGGAGGCCCAAAAUUGAACCCAUUCUCCGUUCAUCGGAACCGACGUCCAAUGGCCCAAAUCUUAUAGCUUCUUGUCAACGAUGGCGGUGAUCGUGUCCUUUUCGUACUGGAAGAUGGACGGAUUUAGGGACAAAAGGCGGUUUUCACUUUUCUCAAAUUUCAAGCCACUGACUGUGGCGUAAUCCUUCCCCGUUGAAGCUGAGGCGGAAGACGGGAGCUUAGAGGAGCGUGAAGUGACGGAAGAGUGCGAUGGGACGGGUUUUUGUCGUGGAAAGAGAAGGGAGGUCUUACAGAUGCAAAUACUGCAAUACGCAGUUAGCUCUCUUCGACGACCUUGCAUCUCGGGCCUUUCAUUGCCGCCGUGGAAAAGCAUACCUUUUCAAUAACGCGAUAAACAUUUCUUUUGGAGCAUUGGAAGAGAGGAUGAUGCUCUCAGGAUUGCACACUGUAGCAGACAUAUUUUGUUGCACAUGUGGACAAAUUGUCGGGUGGAAAUAUGAGGCAGCGCAUGAGAAGAGCCAAAAGUACAAAGAGGGGAAGUAUGUUCUUGAAAGGGGGAGGAUAGUUGACGACAUUGAAUUCUCGACUGGCUUCUUUAUAGACUCCCGAUCUAGUGUCAGUGAUAGCGAAGAAAAUUAGAGCGAGAUUUUAUCAUGUAGUAUACAGUAAAUCAUAAUAAUUACCAAAGGAUGAUGUUCGUGUUUGAAUAUAAUCGAACGAUGUCUGGACUAUGUAAAUGCAGAGUUAUCUAGUUGAGUUCGCCUCUAAGUCAUAUAAAGCUGCUGCAGGCUCCCAAACUAUGAUGUAAGUUUUUGGUCAUUGAUAUUAAUUGUUGAGACCCGAGCUUUCAGAAUGAUCAACAAAUGUAUUUUUCCUGUUUUCAGCUAACACGUGGAGGUGAAAAUAUGAACCUUAAUCCUUUUAGUUAAUGAUGUAUGCUUUAACCUAUUGAGUUGUUCUCAAGUUAAUAGAAUACUUGGUUUUUGAAAAACUUGUUUUAAAAUUUUGUUGAAAUUGACCAAAUUCUUGAACGGCAUAAGAGACCUUGACUAGACCAUCAUGAUUUGGCUUAGUUGUCAAUAAUGGCCACAUAUAUAAUAAAGGAUUUAGAGAUAAUGAGCUAAUGUAGUUGUCUACGUAAGAUUUAAUAUUCUAUGAGUUUGUUUGGUACUCAAAUGUUGUAGGGUUAGAAAGAUAGAGAACUUCACCUUAAACUGGGCCCCAUGAUUUUGGUUUGGUUCAAAUGCUGUAUGGAUAAAUAUGUUACCUUUUUCAUAUUUCUUAUAUCGAUAUAUUUGUAUAGGUUGUUUAAUGUGGUGGUUGCAUUAAAAUAUUAUGAUUGUUUUUUUACUGCUAUAUUUGUUAUAAUUAAUCUCUUGUAUAAUUUAAAACUGCACAUUUGGCAAAAGAUUGGUGGCUGUAUAAUUUUGAUGGAACAUUACAAUUUUAUCCAUUAAAAAGAAUGGUACAUGUAGUUUAGUUUAAGAAUACGUUGGAAUCAUUAAUGUAGAACACUUUACUGGUUGAGUUAUGGUCACGUUACAAGGUAGGUUAAUUAUUGAUUUUAUGAUUGUCAUAAAUUAGCAUGUGGAUCAAUUGUUAAUUAUUGUGCAAUAAUAACUCAUUAAAUUGCAUAAAUGCACUUAAAAUUGUUGAACUCUCAAUUUUCAAUCUUACAGGUUUUUGAAUUUCUUUUCCUUUCUUUUCUUAUGAAGUCACUCUUAUAUUUGAUAUUUUUUCUUAUGGAGUCGCUCUAUUUCUUUGUCCUAUUUACUCGUAUGGUUGUCCUACGAGCAUGAUUCUCCUACUAGCUGUCUUUGUCAAGGUCAUCUUUGUCUCCUAUCUCUUUUUCUUCUACAGAAGGCUUAUCAGUUGUCAAGUCAGUCAUGGAUUGAUAUUUGCCCGGCCUGAAUUUGCCCUCCUAUUGCUCAUCUUUCUUUGCUCAUGAAAGCCUUAUUUUUAAAGGUGUCUGGUCAAUAAUUAUUUUUUUCUUUUUCUUUCAAACAAAUUCUUAAUUUUACUAGAAAGCAGUCGGGAAAAGCGUGAAUAUAAAUUGUGUAUGGUUUUCUCUUUUAUUGUUCAGUCUGAUUAUCAGCCAAUUAUUCAAGUUAAUGCAGUGGGGUCUCUUUGUAUCUAUCUUGGGAUGUCGUUGAUCUUCUCCCGUUGUAAAUCUCAGGAUUUUCGGCAUAGCAAAGAACAAAUUUGGAAAUGUUUACAAGGUUGAAAAAGCCGUUUUUUUCUUGAUGGGAGGUAAGGAGGUGUUAAUUAAGAGUGUGGUUCAUGAAAUUCCUACGUUUGUGAUGGGUUGUUUCAGGUGCCUACAGGUUUUUGCAAGUAUAUUAUGUGUUUGUAUGCUUAACUGUGGUUGAGGCGAAAGGUCAAUAUGCAUUUGUUGUCUUGAGAUAAACUGUCUUCCUAUGAUGUGGGUGGAUUGAGUUGUAGGGAUUUGAGGUCUUUAACCAAGUUCUCCUCGCUAAACAAGUUUGGUGUUUUUAAGCAAGCUUGGUGUUUUUUAAACAAUCCUUGCUCUUCCUUGGUUGCUAAGGUGUUACUAGGGAGAUAUUUUCCUUCUAUUCUUUUGCAAACUAAGGUUUCUCAAAAUUGUUUGUUUUUUUGGAAAGGUUUUGUUUUGGGUAUUAAUUUGUUGAAAUUUGGACCUCGCACAAGCAUUGGUACUGGAGUAUCAACUCAUAUGUUUAGUGAUCCUUGAAUUCCAAGGCUUUCUGCUUUUCAUCCUAUUACACUGAAUCUAGUGCUUUAGAUCUCCUAGUGUUGGAUUUUAUAACCAUGUAAAGAUAGAGGGAUUUAGGUAAGUUUGAGCAAUUUUCAAUCUAUUGACUAUGAGGUUAUUUUUGGAAUCCUGCUUAGCCAAACUGUUCGAUGAAGGGUGGUUGUGGCACUUUGAUAAAUGAGGUUAUGCUUCUUUACAAAUGUUCCUCUACCUCUAGUGAGGAUGUUUAGGUCCGAUGGUGGAAAAGUUUAUGGAGCUCAAAAAGUCUCUUCAAGGUAUAAUGAUUUGUUUCGAAAGCUACUUGAAAUUUGUUGCCUACGUGUUUUAAUCUUUAUAUUCGGCACAUUGAGGUUCAGCCUUAUUAUAGGAAACAACGGAAGAUGCUUUCUUUGGUUGUUAUAGAGCCUAACAAAUUUGGUCUACCAUUUUUCCUUUUGGAAACAUUUGAUUCUUUUGAUUGUUUUCAGUGGGUUGAGUUGUUUAUUUCCUUUUAGCGUUCUGAUUUUGUUGUAGUUUGUAUUGGGCCUCGAGCCAUUUGCAGAAGUUGUAAUACAAUUUCUCAUAAUUUAUUGGUUCCAUCGAUGUCAUUUCGGAGUGUUUGGACUAGAGUAUGUUCACAGCUACUAUGGACAUUCCUCUUUUGUGGUGUUGGGCAACAAGAAUGAGUUUUCUUAGUCCUUUUGGUAAUCUUGGUCGUUUUGUUCUUUAUGUCGAUGCUUCUUGCUGGCCGGAUUUUGAUUCUAUAGACUUUAGAGGCAGGGGCGGAUUUAUUAAGGGCCAGCGGGGCACGUGCUCUCCUCACAUUAUCGAUUUUUGUAUUUUAAUAUUAAUUUUGAAGUGUCAGAUUAUAAUAUAUAUUAAAUAAUGCUUUAAUUUUUCAAAA